GGGGAAGUGUCGGAACUGGUAGACGAGCAUGAUUUAGGAUCAUGUGCCUUCGGGCGUAGGAGUUCGAGUCUCCUCUUCCCCACCA
rnacentral:tRNA from 1 species